rnacentral:rRNA from 1 species
CCUACGGGAUGCACCAGUGGGGAAUAUUGCACAAUGGGCGCAAGCCUGAUGCAGCCAUGCUGCGUGUAUGAAGAAGGCCUUAGGGUUGUAAAGUACUUUGAGUUGAGAGGAAGGCGUUGAUGCUAAUAUCAUCAACGAUUGACGUUACCAACAGAAGAAGCACCGGCUAACUCCGUGCCAGCAGCCGCGGUAAUACGGAGGGUGCAAGCGUUAAUCGGAAUUACUGGGCGUAAAGCGCACGCAGGCGGUUGAUUAAGUUAGAUGUGAAAUCCCCGGGCUUAACCUGGGAAUGGCAUCUAAGACUGGUCAGCUAGAGUCUUGUAGAGGGGGGUAGAAUUCCAUGUGUAGCGGUGAAAUGCGUAGAGAUGUGGAGGAAUACCGGUGGCGAAGGCGGCCCCCUGGACAAAGACUGAAGCUCAGGUGCGAAAGCGUGGGGAGCAAACAGGAUUAGAUACCCUCGUAGUA